GGCAUAAGUAACGAUAAUGCGGAUGAGAAAUCCGCACACCGAAAGACUAAGGAUUCCUCCGCUAUGCUAAUCAACGGAGGGUUAGGCGGGGCCUAAGGGAUAGCCGACAGGCGAUUUUCGAUGGACAGCAGGUUAAUAUUCCUGCCCUUGCAGUGAGUGUGAAGAAAUGACGGAGUAUUGUGGUGUGUACGUACUGACGGAAUAGUGCGUUGAGCUGAGCCUACGGGCGAAGCGAACAUACGAAAACGCUUCCAAGAAAAGUUUCUGAAACAUCAGCUUAUUGCAACCCGUACCGUAAACCGACACAG
rnacentral:rRNA from 1 species